AUGACUUCCAGUUCUUUAGUGGUGACGUAUCUUUUCUCUCUGAAGACAGUAUUUACAGUUACUGGAAUUCCUUCCUGCUCUCCACCUGUCUUUGGUCUGUUUUCCUUUUCCCGUUUUGAUCUCUGUCCUUCAUGGUGCAUCCUCCUGUUGACUCUUGACCAUCUGUUCACAUGGGGCUGCUGUGGGGUGACCAGGCCGCGCAGCCUCCCUUGGCAGCUCUCAGCUCUCUGUAUCCAUCAGCAUUUUCUCUUGGUCUGGUCAGGUUUUCCCAGAGGGGACAGUCCGUUCUCCAGCCUGGGACAGAGGUCAGGGACACAUGUGCUCCCUCCCUGGGUUGGCUCUUUAUAUGGUUACAUUAGUUAUAAUAUACACUCUGGAGGUGACUUGACCUGUCAUUGUGAACAACUAUUGCUCUUGGACGACCCAGGACUUAGGCCAGCCAGUACGUACCCCAGUGUGUUGGAGAAUCGCGCUCGGCUUCUUCCUCUGUGCUGAGUCAUGAAAGUUGCCGGAGCAGGUGCAGUUACACAACCUCCAGGCAACAUCACAUGAUUGUUUAAAAAAUAAUCAUCAAGUCCAGGAUGCAGCAUCUGUCUCAGUUUUUGGCAUAGGAUGACAGUCUGAAAUACACUUACUGAAUUUGAAUAAGAACGGGCUCGGGUCAGUGAUUAUCGCUAGUGCCUUAUCAACGCCCUGUGGCUUUUCAGCAUCAGUCCCCAUAUCCUCGUCCGGUGUGGCACUGAGAGCAGCUAACUGUUGCCCUCGUUGGUUCCCAGUUGGCUUCCAUGACUGGUCAGGGUCAGGUCCACUGCCAACAGGCUGGUGUUGAAGCCCUUGGAGAAAGACAGACAUUCUGACCCUCAAUUAUGCUUUCAAUGCCAUGUGUUUUCUUAUCACAAAAAUCCUCGUUCUCAAAUUUCUUCUUUCUUUAUUUUUAUUUCAUUUCAUUUUUUAGCAUUCCUCCACAAUUCAUUGCCCAAAUCUACUUUUUACUCAAUUUACUUGCUUUGGUCAUUUUUCAAUAUAGCACUUUAAUUUCUUAGGCAAAUAUUUUCAACAUUCUCCUGUUUUCUCAAGGAUGUAUGUUUUCUCCCCAAGUAUGAUCCUGUUUAAGGACUGGAUUUAGGAUAACUACUUAGAGGUUAAAAGGCACAAGGGUGUAUGGAUGAGGCUGGAGUGAUCUGGGACCAAAGGUAUGGGUGAUAAAGCAGAGUAUCUAAGCAGCUCCUGGGAUUGGUGUCUUUAAAAAAAUAAUAAUGCAUUUGCUUAUUUUAGAGACAGGGUCUCACUAUGUUGCCCAGGCUAGACUUGAACUCCUGGGCUCAAGGGAUCCUCCCACCUCAGCCUCCUAAGUAGCUGAAACUGCAGGCAUGAGCCACCACACUCAACUCAGUAUCUUUUUUUUUUUUUUUUUUUGGAGGCGGAGUCUCGCUUUGUCCCCCAGGCUGGAGUGCAGUGCUGUGAUCUCAGCUCACUGCAAUCUCCACCUCCCGGGUUCUAGCUAUUCUCCUGCCUCAGCCUCCUGAGUAGGUGGGAUUACAGGCGUGCGCCACCAUGCCCGUCUAAUUUUUGUAUUUUCAGUAGAGACGUGGUUUCGCCAUCUUGGCCAGGCUGGUCUUGAACUCCUGACCUCAAGUGAUCCGCCCGCCUCGGCCUCCCAAAGUGCUGGGAUUACAGGCAUGAGCCACUGAGCCGUGCCUAGCUCACUAUCUUUUAAUCAGUAGAGAUUCUUUAGUUAUUUUUUAACUCCAUGGAUCCCAAGCUUUGAUUUUUGUUUUCCAAACAAAUUGCAUUUAUAAAUAAUAAUUUUUAUUUAUAAUCAACAGACAUCUAGGCUUGCUGUCAAGGCUUCUGAUCAACAUGAGAUGACCGCCGUGUGGUAAACUGAUGAACCCCGACCCUGAUCAACAUGAGAUGGCCGCCGUGUGGUAAACUGAUGAACCCUGACCCAUUAGGCUUUGGCUACAGAAUGUGGAAAUAAGUUGUGUUACUACAUGUGUGUAAUCCUACGGUGCAGGACACCGGCCGGGAGGUUCCAUAGAGUGAUGGGUUGUGCAGGUAACUCAUCCUCUAGUCCUCUGUAAACUCCUAGAAGGAAGAAAUUAUGUCCUGUAGACUAAUAAAAUUCCUCCAAACCAAAUACAGCACCUACUGUGAAGACACAAAGAUACUUUUAGAAUAGUAAAAACUUUAUCCAUUGAGAAAUUCCUUAAUGGAACAGUAUCCAAGAAGUCAUUUGCCAGCAGAUUUCUUAGAGGUGCGAUAAAGAAGAGGACAUUGCCAGUCGUCACAGCAGCUGCAAUAGCUCCUCUCUAUUGUUAAACAGUGGGAUAUCUUGUACAGGUUUUCAGUUGACAAUCAAUUUUAAAAAUUAGUUUUGGUCCCCAUCAAUCAAUUAUUUAUUAACCCAUCAAUAAAAAUUUAAAUGCUCUGUGAGGUACAAUAGCUAUUAAAAGAGACAGAGGCACUUUCUGUGUCCAGAGGGGCUUUUAGUCUGCUCUGGAAAGCAAGAUGUGUGCAGAUGAGUGACGCAGUGCAUCGUGUGGAUGCAAAGGGAGGGACUCACAUGGGAACCAGAGGAGGCUACAAGGGAGGCAGCGGGGACUGGUGGGUCGAGACCUGGAAAUAACACAUGAAUAGGCAACAAAGGUUUCCGUUCCUCUUCCAUGCACUUCAGUCCUUGAAAAACAUCUUACCACGGAAUUCCACAGUUACCAAGCGAUUCCACAGCUUGAUGGCACACUGUCCUUUCUCAGCAUUCUUGAAAAUGGCAUGUGAGCCAAGCCAUCUUACUGAGAAAUUACCUUAAACCAUUUGAUGAACCAAAAAUAUUUUGUAAUACCCAUCUCUGACAUUAGGUAGGCAAAAUCACACAGAAACAUCGAGGUCUUCUAGUCAUAUUUAUCCGAAAAAUCACAGCUUGGUGUGCAUGUGAAGCCAGAGGAGCACUCCUGGGGCCUGCGGUGCCAUCGCUCAGCUCCCCUGGGCUUCACAUGGCCAUGGAGCCACCAGCAAGUGCAGGCUCUGAGCCUUCAGGGAGGGGCGGCAUCAGCCAGCACCAUCGUCUCCUGGGUCUCGUGCCUCUUACUUGGUUGCGGUGUUGUCAGGGCCAGAAUGGGCAGUUCCGGGUGACAUCCAGGUGUGGUUGCUGACACGGAGCACAGGUGAGGUUCACUGAGGUAAGUGGGCCAUGGCCUUGGGCUUCUAGUGCAGAGCACACCAUCCACUCAGCAUGUGAACCCAGCUCCAAAGUGUAUGUGUGCAUGUGUGUACCUGUGCACAUUGCGCAUGUCUCUGUGUAUGCAUGUGCUUUGAUGCAUGUUGAUGUACGGGUGUAUCUGUGUAUUGUGUAUGCACACAUACAAGCAUAGUUUGUGUACAUGAAUUUGUAUUGCACAUGUGUUUAAUGUGAAC
ensembl:lincRNA